AUUGAACGCUGGCGGCAUGCCUUACACAUGCAAGUCGAACGGUAACGGGUCCUUCGGGAUGCCGACGAGUGGCGAACGGGCGAGUAAUAUAUCGGAACGGGACCAGUAGUGGGGGGUAACUGCUCGAUAGAGCAGCUAGUACCGCAUACGACCUGAGGGAGAAAGGGGGGGAUCGCAAGACCUCUCGUUAUGGGAGCGGUCGAGAUCAGAUUAGCUAGUUGGUGGGGUAAAGGCCUACCAAGGCAACGAUCUGUAGUUGGUCUGAGAGGACGACCAGCCCCACUGGGACUGAGACACGGCCCAGACUCCUACGGGAGGCAGCAGUGGGGAAUUUUGGACAAUGGGCGCAAGCCUGAUCCAGCAAUGCCGCGUGCAGGAAGAAGGCCUUCGGGUUGUAAACUGCUUUUGUCAGGGAAGAAAUCUUCUGGGCUAAUACCCCGGGAGGAUGACGGUACCUGAAGAAUAAGCACCGGCUAACUACGUGCCAGCAGCCGCCGUAA
rnacentral:rRNA from 1 species